rnacentral:rRNA from 1 species
CCUACGGGAGGCUGCAGUGGGGAAUUUUCCGCAAUGGGCGCAAGCCUGACGGAGCGACGCCGCGUGAGUGAAGAAGGCCUUCGGGUUGUAAAGCUCUGUCCUAUGGGAAGAAGGAAGUGACGGUACCAUAGGAGGAAGCCACGGCUAACUACGUGCCAGCAGCCGCGGUAACACGUAGGUGGCAAGCGUUGUCCGGAAUUACUGGGCGUAAAGGGCACGCAGGCGGAUAUUUAAGUCAGAUCUGUAAUCUGUAGGCUUAACCAACAGCUCGGGUCUGAAACUGGCUAUCUUGAGGAUAGGAGAGGACAGUAGAAUUCCUAGUGUAGCGGUGAAAUGCGUAGAUAUUAGGAGGAAUACCAGUGGCGAAGGCGGCUGUCUGGCCUAUCACUGACGCUGAGGUGCGAAAGCACGGGUAGCAAACAGGAUUAGAUACCCUAGUAGUC